UUUUAUAACUCUUCACAAGAUUUUCUAAAAAGCACAUUGAAAUCUUAAGAAAACCUUGUUGUGCUUUUAUUUCUGUAGGAGUUAAAGAGGAAAGAAACAAGAAAUGCGGCUGGCAGGUAAAGACAGGUUUUCUUUAGAGGAAACCUGAGAGGUGCUUCUGGCCAAUUUCAGUCAGGAGUACUUUCUCUUAAAAGCUGAGUAUAUAUCACUUUUAGGUUGAGGGGGCUUAUCACAAGCUUGGAAUGUUUAUGUGUGUGGAGAAGUUUAUAGCGGAGUUGGAAUCUCUCUGGCAGGAGAUAACUUUAUCUGAAUGGGAGUGUAUCUGAAUGAGAGUGGACUGAGGAGAAGCUACUUGCUGGAUUGGUAUAGCUGCCUACAAUCUAAACUAGAACAGGAUUCUAAACUGAGGAAAAUUUACCAUCACCUCAAAAGAAUUUCAGAGCAAGAGAUAAUGAGUCUUAGCUCAUUUACACCAGAUGCCUGCAAGAGUAAAGUUGUGUGUUUCCCAACAUCACUCUUGCUUUAGAACCUGACAAGAUUGAAAGGAAGCCUGAAACCUGAAUGAACUCAUCCUAGGAGACAUUACUACAAUAUGAUGGAUCGAACUAAUUAUCAAUGGUGAAAUGUGACUGUAGUCAUGUGGCCAUAUCUUUUGAGUUGUAUGUUCAUUUCAUGUAAGGGAUCCAAGUUUUAACAUGGUGGGUGUAUUAGUUCAUUUUUAUGCUGCCAAUAAAGAGAUACCCGAGACUGGGUAAUUUACGAAAUAAAGAGGUUAAAUGCAUUUACAGUUACACAUGGCUGGGGAGGCCUCAAAAUCACAGCAGAAGGCAAGGAGGAGCAAGUCACAUCUUAUGUGAAUGGUGGCAGGCAAAAAAGAGAGCUUGUGUAGGGAAACUCCCCCUUAUCCAACCAUUAGAUCUCAUGAGACUUAUUCACUAUCAUGAGAACGGCAUGAGAAACACCUUCCCACAUGGUUCAGUAACCUCCCACCAGGUACCUUUCACACAUGGGAAUUUGAGAUGAGAUUUGGUUGGGGACAUCACCAAACCAUAUCAGAAGUGUUGAAGUGGGUGGUGGGAUGGUGGAAAGGUGUGAAAUAUAUAUUGUGAAAUAUAUAUCAUGAAAUAUAUAUUUGAUCUUCCCCUCUAUUUCCUGGCAUAUGAUACCUUAAUCCUUGGGAUUUCCAAUGUGCUGCAAAGUGCUUUCUUUUUUUAUGUCAGCUAAUGAACACUGAUAGCUUUAGAAUUGG
rnacentral:lncRNA from 1 species